CCUACGGGCGGCAGCAGUGGGGGAUAUUGCACAAUGGGGGAAACUCUGAUGCAGCGACGCCGCGUGAGUGAAGAAGUUUUUCGGUAUGUAAAGCUCUAUCAGCAGGGAAGAAAACGACAGUACCUGACCAAUAACCCCCGGCUAACUACGUGCCAGCAGCCGCGGUAAUACGUAGGGGGCAAGCGUUAUCCGGAUUUACUGGGUGUAAAGGGAGCGUAGACGGUUAUGUAAGUCUGGAGUGAAAGCCCGGGGCCCAACCCCGGGACUGCUUUGGAAACUGUGUGACUGGAGUGCAGGAGUGGCAGGCGGAAUUCCUGGUGUAGCGGUGGAAUGCGUAGAUAUCAGGAGGAACACCAGCGGCGAAGGCGACCUGCUGGACUGAAACUGACAUUGAGGCUCGAAAGCGUGGGGAGCAAACAGGAUUAGAUACCCUGGUAGUC
rnacentral:rRNA from 1 species